GGUUGGCGGUCCACUUAGUAACUUUCUAGAAGGAUCAGAGGAUGAGUGAGUCCUCCAAGCUGCCCCAAGGUCCCACUGGACUUCUGUGGGGGGCACAGGGAGGGAACCCAGGGCGCCUCACUCAACAGAGAGUGAAGUGGGCUUCAGGCCGGGGGCAAGUUGUGGACCCGCGUGGUUCCUCUUUGCCUAAGCUCUGGUAUCAGUGCCACCUAUCUACUCCCUUCUUACAGGGAAUGUCACCCCCGUCACUCCAUGUGGCUCUGGGGAGGCUUCCGGGCACAGCUAACCUACCGUAGGGGCGAACAUGGGAACACAGGACAUGUUUUCCAAAAAGCACAUUAGGAAUUGGAAAUCCAGGCUGCAACUGGAAGUAGAAAGGCAUCUGAGUGUCACAGUGGACCACAAGAUAAAAUUCAGGAGAGGUGGACUCCUCAUGAAGACGAAUGAAAAUGCCUGGACCCUUGAAGGGGGAUCUAAAGGAACUGCCAAGAGGCCAAAGGCUCGGGACCAGGAGCGGAGAAACCAGAACCUCUGCCCAUCCUGGACCUACACAAUGCUGAGAGAAGAGAGGCAGCCAGCGAAGGGACCGCCGUCGGGAACCUGGUGAUGUGGCCUUGCCCUGUUCUCAUCCUCCCACCACACGUCCCCGGUCAAGCCCCCCGCCCCCAAGAGCCCUCAGCCCCGGGAAGACCACCCAGAAUGAGCUCCUCACAGGAGACCGUGCCUGCCUUGGCGCCCAGAGGACCCAGAGUUGCUGAGCUCCCGGCCCCAACCUGGCACGCUCGGGGCGGCUUUAAGAGGUUCACAACUCCCCGAGUGCAGUGUCCAUAAGGCGGCCUCCCGGCUCGGCGGAGGGCGCAGGGCUUGGAUGACAGCGUCGACUAGAUUUCAACCACCACCGUCCCCUUGGAAGGAUGCCAUUGGGCGGGACACAACCUGCACGACUGUACACGGCAGGGCUCAUGGAGGCACACAGGCCAAGGUCAGCUCUGGUGAGAACGUGGGAGUUGCGGGGACUUGGGGGGCAGGGAGAGGCCAGGGGCAUCUCGGGAAGGCCUUGGAGACACGCGGUCUGGUUCACCACAGUGGUCACAUGUGCCUGGCAAGGCUGCAGAUCGACAGACACCCCUGCACCCGGGGGUGGGGUCCACACCCUCAUACCCGUGGGGCCACCACAGCUCAGGAGCCUGUGGUCUUCACCUUGAGCUGGGACUGGACACCGUGUUGGAGACCAAAGACAGGAGAGAGCCCUGCCUUCUACUGAAAGGGGAAAUGUGCAACCGCCCAGAACAGGCGUGGGGACGAUCACGUUCCUCCCAAAGCCAACGACAGAGUCACCCUAGGAGCCAGCAACCCCACUCCUCGGCGUCCACCUGAAGGAACUGAAAACAAGUGUUCCAACAAAACCCUGCACACCCACACUCGUGGCACGUUACUCACAACUGCCAAAAGAUGGGAACCACCCAGCGUCCAUCAACGGAGGCACGGGUGACCCAGACGUAGCGUCCCUGCAAUGGAAUGCGAGUCCUCCGUAAAAACGAGGAACCUUGAGGACAUUAUGCUGAGUGAGAGACAAGAACAAAGUCACAAGAGGGUAAGUCCUGUGUGAUGCGGUUCCCAUGAGAUGUUCUUAACGGAAAUCCGUACAGCUAGGCAGAGGCUGGUCGUGCAGCGUGGCGAGUGCAUGAAAUGCCACCGACUUGUGUGCACUACAAAACGGCUAAUUUUAUGUUGCGCACCUCAAUUAAAAAAAUGAUCAAGAAAGCAAAUGAGCAACGA